rfam:Nitratireductor pacificus pht-3B contig10, whole genome shotgun sequence.
GUACCGGUUAACCACUCAUUAAGCUUUACGUGCGUUUACUGUGUUCAUCCAGUGAUCUGGAUUCUUACCGAGUGGCUGGAGCCAUUCUGUUUGACGCCUCCCUGUUUAAACUCCUGAGAGCCGCCCAUGCGGCUCUUUUUUU